UACGUAGGGGGCAAGCGUUGUCCGGAAUCAUUGGGCGUAAAGAGCGUGUAGGCGGUCCGGUAAGUCGGAUGUGAAAUCUCAGGGCUCAACCCUGAAACUGCAUUCGAUACUGCGUGGCUAGAGUGCUGGAGAGGAGACUGGAAUUUACGGUGUAGCAGUGAAAUGCGUAGAUAUCGUAAGGAAGACCAGUGGCGAAGGCGAGUCUCUGGACAGCAACUGACGCUGAGGCACGAAGGCCAGGGGAGCAAACGGG
rnacentral:rRNA from 1 species